rnacentral:rRNA from 1 species
AUUGAACGCUGGCGGCAUGCUUUACACAUGCAAGUCGAACGGCAGCACGGGGGCAACCCUGGUGGCGAGUGGCGAACGGGUGAGUAACACAUCGGAACGUGUCCUGUUGUGGGGGAUAACCCACCGAAAGGUGAGCUAAUACCGCAUGACCUCGGGAGAGAAAAGCAGGGGACCCCGCAAGGGCCUUGCGCGAUUGGAGCGGCCGAUCGUCCGAUUAGCUAGUUGGUAGGGUAAAGGCCUACCAAGGCGACGAUCGGUAGCUGGUCUGAGAGGAUGAUCAGCCACACUGGGACUGAGACACGGCCCAGACUCCUACGGGAGGCAGCAGUGGGGAAUUUUGGACAAUGGGGGCAACCCUGAUCCAGCCAUGCCGCGUGCGGGAAGAAGGCCU